AUUGAACGCUGGCGGCAUGCUUUACACAUGCAAGUCGAACGGUAACAGGCCUUCGGGCGCUGACGAGUGGCGAACGGGUGAGUAAUGCGUCGGAACGUGCCCAGUCGUGGGGGAUAACGCAACGAAAGCUGUGCUAAUACCGCAUACGAUCUAUGGAUGAAAGCGGGGGACCGUAAGGCCUCGCGCGAUUGGAGCGGCCGAUGUCAGAUUAGGUAGUUGGGGGGGUAAAGGCUCACCAAGCCAACGAUCUGUAGCUGGUAUGAGACGACGACCAGCCACACUGGAACAGACACACGGUCCAGACUCCUACGGGAGGCAGCAGUGGGGAAUUCUGGACAAUGGGCGCAAGCCUGAUCCAGCAAUGCCGCGUGCAGGAAGAAGGCCUUCGGGUUGUAAACUGCUUUUGUACGGAACGAAACGGCGAGCUCUAAUACAGUUUGCUAAUGACGGUACCGUAAGAAUAAGCACCGGCUAACUACGUGCCAGCAGCCGCGGUAACAC
rnacentral:rRNA from 1 species